rnacentral:rRNA from 1 species
UACGAAGGGGGCUAGCGUUGCUCGGAAUCACUGGGCGUAAAGCGCACGUAGGCGGAUUGCUAAGUCAGGGGUGAAAUCCUGGAGCUCAGCUCCAGAACUGCCUUUGAUACUGGCGAUCUCGAGUCCGGGAGAGGUGAGUGGAACUGCGAGUGUAGAGGUGAAAUUCGUAGAUAUUCGCAAGAACACCAGUGGCGAAGGCGGCUCUCUGGGACGGUACUGACGCUGAGACGCGAAAGCGUGGGGAGCGAACAGG